rnacentral:lncRNA from 1 species
CGAGUGUUCACCUCAUUUAUAAAUAAUGAUCUGGAACAUCACCUAGUGGGAGCGUAAAGUCUGUGGAAUCAGAGGUGGUAGAAAGACAUUGGAUAAAAUCAGCUCUCUGAUCUUUUUGGAAUUUCUCCUGAUGUAUGAUGUGAAAAGUCGAUCCACUUUUAUUGUUUUCCAUGGCUAUCCUUGUUUAGCCACUCUAUUAAUUAAGGUGUCCACCUUAAUUGGACCAGUCCCUCACUGUAAGGAUGAAGGUUAUUGCUGUGUUCUUCUACUUCCCUAUGAAUUACUGGAAAGCAACUGUUUUAAACAAUGGCAGAAGGAAAGAAAGAAGAGGGGGAAAAAAUCUCUUGCAAUUUUUAGGGGGAAGAGUGGCGCACCGAGGAAAAGCUGUGACAAACUUUUCAUGUGUGCAGUCAUAGCCGGAUAUUGUGACAAAGAACGACGAAGAAAAUCAAGGCAGUGCAAUAGCAUAUUUAGACAUAACACAAAAUAAAAACCCUUCACCAAAGAGUUUCCACAGACUAAAUUAUUUUGGAUUCCGAAAAACUUAUUGUUGUUAUUUAAAGAUAAAUAUUUAAGUAAUAAAACGUAUAAGAAUUCAC